AUGGACCCGUCGCUCAAGCGGCUUCCCGACUCGGAUCCCGCCCCACAGUCCCUGCACCGCUUCUACGACGGCUAUCAUCUCGGCCUCCUCCUGCGGCCUCGUCCCCAGUCCCAGCCCCAACUCCAAGGCGGGGGUUUUCUGCGCCCACCUUGCAAUUACCGCGCCCAGGAGGAGGAGCAUGUCUCCUACGUCGUCGCUGGGCUCUUCCUCAAACACAAACCAUCAGCAACCGGUCACCUGUUCGACCUUUACCUCUACAGCUCCGAUACCAACAAGUGGUCCAUCCAGGACCAGGAGCCCCCCUUAUUGCUGCUCCAACAUCAGCAACAGCGAGCCGGCGGCGGCGGCUUUGAUUUUGUCACAAACAAGGCCAUCUCCAUCGGCGGAGAACACGGUGGUUCCACCACCAUGUGCUUCGUCGACCUGCAGCAGGGCAUCCUUCAAUGCAACGUGCUCGACAGCAUCCCAGGGCUCCGCUACUGUCCGAUGCCGCCGCCCCUUGAACCCAACCCUGUCACCAUGGUCCAGUCUUACCCACAGGCUUUCCGUGAUGUAGCCAUCAUCGACGGUGGCCGCCGCAUCAAGUGCGCCCAGCUGCAUCUGGAUGUCACCUUAAACUGCGAGGAUAGCAACUGGGUGGACUGGACUGUUCCCUCCUACCAUGGCUGGAAGGCAGCCACAUGGAGCAUGGACGCUGCCUAUCCUUCUUCUGGCUGGCGCCAGGACAGCGAGGUAGUUCAUGCGUCUGAGAUUGGCAGCACCAUAGACCCGCCGCUUCUCCAAUUGCCGCCCUUGCAUGACGACGGCAAAGACGUGGUCUACUUCAUGACCAAGGUCCAUUCUUAUCAUAAGGCCGCAUUGGUGAUUGCGGUUGACAUGUCCAACAAGACAGCACAACAAGUCAUACAGUUCCUCCCAGGGAAAUUUAUGGAGCGCGCCUUUGUACACAGCAGGAUCUCCAAAUUUCUCAGUAUGGCUCCAGGCUCCAGCUCCAGGCUCGGGCACAAGAGGAAACAUGAAACGACCAGGGAUGAUGACACUAAUGGCAUGUUCGUACUGAUGAGUGAUACUGUUAUGAUGGAACCAAACAAUCCCCAUCCAGCUGAAACAUAA
rnacentral:rRNA from 1 species